GGCCCCGUCGUCUAACGGUUAGGACACCACCCUCUCAAGGUGGAAACAUGAGUCCGAUUCUCAUCGGGGUCUCUA
rnacentral:tRNA from 1 species